GCCCGCGUGAUGGAAUGGUAGACAUAACAGACUUAAAAUCUGUGGAACGCAAGUUCAUGCCGGUUCGAGUCCGGCCGUGGGUACCA
rnacentral:tRNA from 1 species